rnacentral:rRNA from 1 species
AUGAAUAGAUCACAACCAACAGGGCACAAUCCCCUGGCCAAAGUGCCAACAAAACCGGAUCAACCAGAAAACAGCAAGCUAGAACUAUUAACAGAACAUCUCUAUGCUCAGCACCAAAAGGAACUAGAGCCUUUUGUCUUUUUUUUAGAAUCACUAGAGCCUUUUGUCUUUUCUUUUUCUUUUAGAAUCACUAGAGCCUUUUGUCUAAGGCUAAAACUAGAGCCAAACAGCAAAAUUGGUCCGGCCUACUGCGGCCCACAAUCACUUAACCAUCAGCCCAAGGCCCAGUUCACGAAAAGGACAACAAUACAAUUUGCUUCCUCGUGGAGACGCAGAGAACAUGUUUUGAUGGUCUAA